rnacentral:rRNA from 1 species
AUACCCGCAGCCCAAGUGGUGGUCGUUUUUAUUGAGUCUAAAACGUUCGUAGCCGGUUCAUUAAAUCCUUGGGUAAAUCGGAUGGCUUAACUAUCCGAAUUCCGGGGAGACUGGUGAACUUGGGACCGGGAGAGGCAAGAGGUACUUUUGGGGUAGGGGUAAAAUCCUGUAAUCCUAAAAGGACCACCGGUGGCGAAGGCGUCGUGCUAUAACGGAUCCGGCGGUGAGGGACGAAGCCCUGGGUCGCAAACGGGAAUAGAUACCCCGGUAGUCCAGGGUGUAAACGCUGCAGACUUGAUGUUGGAGACCCUUCGGGGGUGUUCAGUGCCUGAGAGAAGUUGUUAAGUCUGCUACUUGGGGAGUACGGCCGUAAGGAUGAAGCUUAAAUGAAUGGGCGGGG